GAUGAACGCUGGCGGCGUGCCUAACACAUGCAAGUCGAACGAAGCACUUGAAGUUUCCGGAUGGAAAGUGACUGAGUGGCGGACGGGUGAGUAACGCGUGGAUAACCUGCCUCAUACAGGGGGAUAACAGUUAGAAAUGACUGCUAAUACCGCAUAAGCGCACAGUACCGCAUGGUACGGUGUGAAAAACUCCGGUGGUAUGAGAUGGAUCCGCGUCUGAUUAGCUAGUUGGCGGGGUAACGGCCCACCAAGGCGACGAUCAGUAGCCAACCUGAGAGGGUGACCGGCCACAUUGGGACUGAGACACGGCCCAAACUCCUACGGGAGGCAGCAGUGGGGAAUAUUGCACAAUGGGCGAAAGCCUGAUGCAGCGACGCCGCGUGAGUGAAGAAGUAUUUCGGUAUGUAAAGCUCUAUCAGCAGGGAAGAAAAUGACGGUACCUGACUAAGAAGCCCCGGCUAACUACGUGCCAGCAGCCGCAGUAACAC
rnacentral:rRNA from 1 species